GGUGAAUUAAACAUGCUUGGUGUCUUCGCUUCGGCAAGGCCCUUGCUUAAAUCACAUCCUAACACCUGUGAACUGUAAGACGUAUGAUGAGGUCUUUGCCAAGUCAUCGUCUGCCCAUUUUUAACAAACAAUUAAUGUAACAAACGUAGUCUUAUUAUAACCUAAUA
rnacentral:misc_RNA from 1 species